GCUGGUUUGGCUCAGUGGAUAGAGCAUCAGCCUGCAGACUGAAGGGUCCCAGGUUCAAUUCCUGGGCA
rnacentral:tRNA from 1 species